CGCGUAGGUGGUUAUGUAAGUGAGAUGUGAAAUCCCCGGGCUCAACCUGGGAACUGCGUCUUAUACUGCAUAGCUGGAGUACAUGAGAGGGUAGUGGAAUUUCCGGUGUAGCGGUGAAAUGCGUAGAUAUCGGAAGGAACACCAGUGGCGAAGGCGGCUACCUGGCAUGAUACUGACACUGAGGCGCGAGAGCGUGGGGAGCAAACA
rnacentral:rRNA from 1 species